CAGACCUUUCCCUGGGGGCGGCCAGUCAGGACUGCUCCCUUCUCCACCGGCAGGUGGCCGUCGAGCUGACGUCCGAGAGGGUGACCAGUAGUGGGAGAGCUCAGGACCAGACGGGACUUUCGGGCCGUGGCACCACACUGGGUAGCUGAGUCAACUAGCGAAAGACACGAUUAAAGAGGCUGGGGGAGCACCAAACCGCUCAGGACUCCAGAAACCGAAAAACAAGCGAGGAAAGAAUGAGAAUAAGCACUUCUUUAAGAAUUAUUCUGUUGAAUUUUCACAAGGGGACCUAGAAUACUGAAAAAUGAAAGCAAAUGGACAGUAAAGUCGUCAAGACUCAGUUUCAUAGUGUCUGUUUUCCACCGACAACUCUUGGACACUUUGAAAGAAGAAAAUAAAACACUAUUUCAACAUCAGAACUGCAUCAAGUUGCAAAUGGAAAAUUGGUACAAACUGAGAAGCAACGUCAAGUCCUGUACACAUACAAAGGAAAAACAUAACCCAAUGGAUUCUGGUGAAGUCCCUCCUCUCUUGCUGUGAGCCUCGACCUCACCAAGACGACUUCAACAAGCAGAAGAAAGACAAAAAGGAAGUGGGAGAAAGA